rnacentral:pre_miRNA from 1 species
AAUAAAUGUAGUUAUGUACUAUUUAUGUCUUGACUGUUCAUCUUAUUUGAAAAAAAAUUAUAAUUAGUAUUUUUAUUGUUAUUAGAUGAUAAAAUAUGAAUAUUACUUAUUGUGUGACUAUUUUUUUUCAAUUUUUUCAUAAAAUUUUUAAAUAAGAUGAUCGGUCAAACGUGUCCUUACGGCUACACUUAUU